UAGGGAAUAUUGGGCAAUGGACGCAAGUCUGACCCAGCCAUGCCGCGUGCAGGAAGAAGGCGUUAUGCGUUGUAAACUGCUUUUAUACAGGAAGAAACGACUCUUGCGAGAGGCAUUGACGGUACUGUAUGAAUAAGCACCGGCUAACUCCGUGCCAGCAGCCGCGGUAAUACGGAGGGUGCAAGCGUUAUCCGGAUUCACUGGGUUUAAAGGGUGCGUAGGCGGGCAGGUAAGUCAGUGGUGAAAUCCUGGAGCUCAACUCCAGGACUGCCAUUGAUACUAUCUGUCUUGAAUAUUGUGGAGGUAAGCGGAAUAUGUCAUGUAGCGGUGAAAUGCUUAGAUAUGACAUAGAACACCCAUUGCGAAGGCAGCUUACUACGCAUAUAUUGACGCUGAGGCACGAAAGCGUGGGGAUCAAACAGGAUUAGAUACCCUGGUAGUCCACGCCCUAAACGAUGGAUACUCGACAUACGCGAUACACUGUGUGUGUCUGAGCGAAAGCAUUAAGUAUCCCACCUGGGGAAGUACGUUCGCAAGAAUG
rnacentral:rRNA from 1 species